AUCAAUUGUCUGUGUAUGGUGUUGCUGC
rnacentral:piRNA from 1 species